rnacentral:rRNA from 1 species
UACGAAGGGGGCUAGCGUUGUUCGGAAUUACUGGGCGUAAAGCGCACGUAGGCGGGUAUUUAAGUCAGGGGUGAAAUCCCAGAGCUCAACUCUGGAACUGCCUUUGAUACUGGGUACCUAGAGUAUGGAAGAGGUGAGUGGAAUUCCGAGUGUAGAGGUGAAAUCGUAGAUAUUCGGAGGAACACCAGUGGGCGAAGGCGGCUCACUGGUCCAUUACUGACGCUGAGGUGCGAAAGCGUGGGGAGCAA